GGAUCACUCUCAGGUCAGGUGUG
rnacentral:siRNA from 1 species